GUCUCUGUGUGGUAUGGUUGUGUAGCGAGUUGAUGUCUAGAGCAGUGAGUUGUAUUUGUCGUGGUGUGUGUGCCCUGGGUGGCUGUUAUGUUACUUCACAUAAGUGUCACAUAUAUACUUUACAUUUCCAGCUGGUGACUAAGGUGCGAUAUCUUUGGACUGGUACUUGCUGUGGUGUCAAGAUGAUAGCAAUAGUCUCUGGACAAGUCCAUAGUGUGGGUUAUCGUUGAUGCUGUUGACGG